CAGUUCUUAUCAGGCAAAGAGAACUUCAGUCUGACCCCCCGAAACUAGACGAGCUACUCCGAGACAGCCUAAUAGGGCAAACCCGUCUCUGUGGCAAAAGAGUGGGAAGAUCUCCGAGUAGAGGCGACAAACCUAACGAGCCUAGUAAUAGCUGGUUGCUCAGGAAAUGAAUAUUAGUUCAGCCUUAAGGCUUCUACUGCCACCCAGGUUAUUACCAACAAAGACAUCAAGAAAACCUUAAGAGUUAUUCAAGAGAGGUACAGCUCCCUUGAAAAAGAACACAACCUUAACAGGUGGAUAAAGAUCACAUUAAAUUAAAGGAACUUUGUUUCAGUGG
rnacentral:rRNA from 2 species